rnacentral:lncRNA from 1 species
AUGCAGCAGCGGCUGUGCUCUGGGCCCAUGCAGGGCAGCAGGGACGGGGCUGAACCCCUGCCGGCAGCCAGACCUCAGAGACCCCCGUGUGGUUCUCAAGCCUGUGUCAGGAGCCUGCCCUCCCGGGCCUCAGCUGCGUCCUGCCCCAUGUUCGUGCUGUCCAGGUGUCAGCAUUUGGCUGACGAGAGCACGGUCCUGACCCCACAGCCGCCUGGUCCUGUACCCCAUCCGAGGUGCUGCACGGCCGCACCAGCCCCAGGAGGGGAGCAGGGCCAGGGGCGCAGGGCCGGGGCUGCAGCCCCAGCAGCCCCUGAUGGGUGUUGGGGCAGCUCCAUGUGCCGUCCCUCAGCCCUUGGCGUGCCAAACCCAGUGCCAGGCCCGAGCUGGUUCAGCAAAUCUCCCCCUCGGGCACUCAGCCCAGUCUUUGCUGGGUGCCAUCAGGAUGAGGCGCUGCAGCCACCGCCCCCCUGGACCCUGCAGGGCCCCAGCCCACAGCACCAUGAGGCACCGAGCCCCACAGCCUCCUCCUGGGGGAUAGAAUUUUCCCACUCCAGCUGGCCUGGGAGAGAUAGAGGAAGAUGUUAUCAGGGCAGAGCAGGCUGCCGAGCCAGAGGCUGGGCUCUAAUUAUUAAGAGCCAAUUCCAUUACAGCAACCUCAGCCCCAGGGCAACGCAGGCCAGACUCUCCCAAGGGGCGAGACCGCAGCAGCAUCCCCUGCAGCCCUGGGGGACAGGAACACCACGUGUGGGUGGCAGCAGCCCCAUGGCAGCCCCCGCACCAUGUGGGGUCCCUGCCCCUGGCUGCCUCUCCCCCCUCAGGUGCUGCUGCCCUGGCACCCUCUGCCCUCCUCCAGCAGGCCCCAGUCCAGCACGGCCAGGAGCAAAAGGCACAGGAAUCGUCCUCCUCCUGCCAGCAGCUGCUGAAACAAGACCUGGAGAGAAGCCAGAACCAUCGGUGUCGCCGCCAGCCCCCAUCCCUAGUGGGGGAGAAGCCCCUGGCUGGGGCUGGCUUCGGGUGCAGGGGUGGGAAGUAGGGGCACAGAGAAGUCCUUUUAAGUCAUCCCAAAAGCAGCAAGAAAACAGGCAACACAUCACCGUCUUAACCAACCUUCUUAUUUCUUUAUUUGAAAGGCACAGCUUGUACGUCCUUGAUACAGCAUUUUCAGUUCCUCUUAUUAUAGGUCAAGUGAUUAAACACAAAAAGCAAAACAAGAUCUUUCUAAAGGACUAUAUACAAACACCAGAUUAUUAUUUAAUUUUAUUUUUUUUUUUCCAUUUUUUUUUUUUUUAG